rnacentral:rRNA from 1 species
UGCGCCUUGCCAGCCCGCUCAGAAACCAAAAGAAUUGACGGGGGCCCGCACAAGCGGUGGAGCAUGUGGUUUAAUUCGAUGAUACGCGAGGAACCUUACCUGGGCUCAAAUGUAUGUUGACGUAUUCUGAAAGGGAUACUUCUUCGGACAAUAUACAAGGUGCUGCAUGGUUGUCGUCAGCUCGUGCCGUGAGGUGUCGGGUUAAGUCCCAUAACGAGCGCAACCCCUAUCAUUAGUUGCCAUCAGGUCAAGCUGGGGACUCUAAUGAAACUGCCUACGCAAGUAGUGAGGAAGGUGGGGAUGACGUCAAAUCAGCACGGCCCUUACGGCCUGGGCUACACACGUGCUACAAUGGUCGGUACAAAGGGUUGCCAAGCCGCGAGGUGGAGCUAAUCCCAUAAAACCGAUCGUAGUCCGGAUCGCAGUCUGCAACUCGACUGCGUGAAGUCGGAAUCGCUAGUAAUCGUGAAUCAGAAUGUCACGGUGAAUACGUUCCCGGGCCUU